GAUUUGCGGCCGCGAAUCGCCCUUAGGAAUUGGCGGGGGAGCACCACAAGGGGUGAAGCCUGCGGUUCAAUUGGAGUCAACGCCAGAAAUCUUACCCGGAGCGACAGCAGAAUGAAGGUCAAGCUGAAGACUUUACCAGACAAGCUGAGAGGUGGUGCAUGGCCGUCGCCAGCUCGUGCCGUGAGAUGUCCUGUUAAGUCAGGUAACGAGCGAGACCCC
rnacentral:rRNA from 1 species